rnacentral:rRNA from 1 species
UACGGAGGGGGCUAGCGUUGUUCGGAAUGAUUGGGCGUAAAGCGUCCGCAGGUGGCUAUGUAAGUCUGCUGUUAAAUAGUGAGGCUCAACCUCAUAAAGGCAGUGGAAACUACAAGGCUAGAGUGCGUUCGGGGCAGAGGGAAUUCCUGGUGUAGCGGUGAAAUGCGUAGAGAUCAGGAAGAACACCGGUGGCGAAAGCGCUCUGCUAGGCCGCAACUGACACUGAGGGACGAAAGCUAGGGGAGCGAAUGGG